rnacentral:misc_RNA from 1 species
GAUGAAGAACGUAGCGAAAUGCGAUACUUGGUGUGAAUUGCAGAAUCCCGUGAACCAUCGAGUCUUUGAACGCAAGUUGCGCCUCAAGCCAUUAGGUUGAGGGCACGUCUGCCUGGGCGUCACAUAUCGUUGCCUGAUGCCAGUUUCCUCGUGAUGGGUGACUGUGCAGGGCGAAUGAUGGCUUCCCGUGAGCAUUGUUGCCUCAUGGUUGGUUGAAAAUUGAGUCCUUGGUAGGGAGCGCCGUGAUAGAUGGUGGUUGAGUGACGAACGAGACCCAAUCAUGUGAGACCCCUACCGAAUUUGGCCUUCAUGACCCACAUGCGUCUUUGGAACGCUCAUGACGAGACCUCAGGUCAGGCGGGGCUAACCGCUGAGUUUAAGCAUAUCAAUAAGCGGAGGA